CAGCCCCAACACCAUGCAGCAGUCAUAUCAUGUACCAGUACAUCAUUUACAUAUAGUCAUUUGGUCCAAAGUUAGAGUAAUUAUGGUGAAUACU